GUUAAGUUGCAGGGUAUAGACCCGAAACCCGGUGAUCUAGCCAUGGGCAGGUUGAAGGUUGGGUAACACUAACUGGAGGACCGAACCGACUAAUGUUGAAAAAUUAGCGGAUGACUUGUGGCUGGGGGUGAAAGGCCAAUCAAACCGGGAGAUAGCUGGUUCUCCCCGAAAGCUAUUUAGGUAGCGCCUCGUGAACUCAUCUUCGGGGGUAGAGCACUGUUUCGGCUAGGGGGUCAUCCCGACUUACCAACCCGAUGCAAACUGCGAAUACCGAAGAAUGUUAUCACGGGAGACACACGGCGGGUGCUAACGUCCGUCGUGAAGAGGGAAACAACCCAGACCGCCAGCUAAGGUCCCAAAGUCACAGUUAAGUGGGAAACGAUGUGGGAAGGCUCAGACAGCCAGGAUGUUGGCUUAGAAGCAGCCAUCAUUUAAAGAAAGCGUAAUAGCUCACUGGUCGAGUCGGCCUGCGCGGAAGAUGUAACGGGGCUAAACUGUGCACCGAAGCUGCGGCAGCGACGCUUAUGCGUUGUUGGGUAGGGGAGCGUUCUGUAAGCCUGCGAAGGUGUCCUGUGAGGGAUGCUGGAGGUAUCAGAAGUGCGAAUGCUGACAUAAGUAACGAUAA
rnacentral:rRNA from 1 species